AGGACGAACGCUGGCGGCGUGCUUAACACAUGCAAGUCGAGCGGAAAGGCCCUUCGGGGUACUCGAGCGGCGAACGGGUGAGUAACACGUGAGCAACCUGCCCCUGGCUCUGGGAUAGCCUCCGGAAACGGGGAUUAAUACCGGACAUGACCCUUGACCGCAUGGUUGGGGGUGGAAAGUUUUUCAGCCAGGGUGGGCUCGCGGCCUAUCAGCUUGUUGGGGGGGUGACGGCCCACCAAGGCGACGACGGGUAG
rnacentral:rRNA from 1 species